rnacentral:rRNA from 1 species
AGCGAACGCUGGCGGCAAGCCUAACACAUGCGAGUCGAACGAAGUCUUCGGACUUAGUGGCGGACGGGUGAGUAACACGUGGGAACGUGCCUUUAGGUUCGGAAUAACUCAGGGAAACUUGUGCUAAUACCGAAUGUGCCCUUCGGGGGAAAGAUUUAUCGCCUUUAGAGCGGCCCGCGUCUGAUUAGCUAGUUGGUGAGGUAAAGGCUCACCAAGGCUACGAUCAGUAGCUGGUCUGAGAGGAUGACCAGCCACAUUGGGACUGAGACACGGCCCAAACUCCUACGGGAGGCAGCAGUGGGGAAUCUUGCGCAAUGGGCGAAAGCCUGACGCAGCCAUGCCGCGUGGAUGAUGAAGGUCUUAGGAUUGUAAAAUCCUUUCACCGGUGAAGAUAAUGACUGUAGCCGGAGAAGAAGCCCCGGCUAACUUCGUGCCAGCAGCCGCGGUAACAC